rnacentral:rRNA from 1 species
GAUGAACGCUGGCGGCGUGCUUAACACAUGCAAGUCGAACGAAGCAUUUAGAACAGAUUAUUUCGGUAUGAAGUUCUUUAUGACUGAGUGGCGGACGGGUGAGUAACGCGUGGGUAACCUGCCUUGUACUGGGGGAUAGCAGCUGGAAACGGCUGGUAAUACCGCAUAAGCGCACAAUGUUGCAUGACAUGGUGUGAAAAACUCCGGUGGUAUAGGAUGGACCCGCGUCUGAUUAGCUAGUUGGUGAGAUAACAGCCCACCAAGGGGACGAUCAGUAGCCGACCUGGGAGGGUGACCGGCCACAUUGGGACUGAGACACGGCCCAGACACUUACGGGAGGCAGCAGUGGGGAAUAUUGCACAAUGGAGGAAACUCUGAUGCAGCGACGCCGCGUGAGUGAAGAAGUAAUUCGUUAUGUAAAGCUCUAUCAGCAGGGAAGAUAGUGACGGUACCUGACUAAGAAGCUCCGGCUAAAUACGUGCCAGCCGCCGCAGUAA